CUCCUACGGGAGGCAGCAGUAGGGAAUCUUCCGCAAUGGACGAAAGUCUGACGGAGCAACGCCGCGUGAGUGAUGAAGGUUUUCGGAUCGUAAAACUCUGUUGUUAGGGAAGAACAAGUACGAGAGUAACUGCUCGGACCUUGACGGUACCU
rnacentral:rRNA from 1 species